UUCCUACGGGACGCAGCAGUAGGGAAUCUUCCACAAUGGGCGAAAGCCUGAUGGAGCAACGCCGCGUGGGUGAAGAAGGUCUUCGGAUCGUAAAACCCUGUUGUUAGAGAAGAAAGUGCGUGAGAGUAACUGUUCACGUUUCGACGGUAUCUAACCAGAAAGCCACGGCUAACUACGUGCCCGCAGCCGCGGUAAUACGUAGGUGGCAAGAGUUAUCCGGAAUGAUUGGGCGUAAAUGGUGCGCAGGCGGAACCAUAAGUCUGA
rnacentral:rRNA from 1 species